GAAUUGUGAAGAUUUAAAAGCUUUUAGGUAGCAAAGGCCUAACCUCAUCCUGCAUGACUUGAUUUCUCAAGGAAAUUAUGGUUAGUGCUUGGGUCUUGUUAAUAGUUCUUACAUUUGUUUAAGGUUCAUUAAUAACUUAUGCUGAUUUGCAUUCCUAAAAGCUUUUAAAUCUUCACAAUUCUNUUAUGCUCAUUGGCUGGUGACUAUGGCACUCGCUAUUCACUGGUAGGCUUCCUAGGUACCC
rnacentral:misc_RNA from 1 species